rnacentral:rRNA from 1 species
GCCGCCGCGGUAAUACCGGCGGCUCGAGUGGUGGCCACUAUUACUGGGCUUAAAGCGUUCGUAGCUGGUUUGUUAAGUCUCUGGGGAAAUCUUCCGGCUUAACCGGAAGGCGUCUCAGGGAUACUGGCAGACUAGGGACCGGGAGAGGUGAGAGGUACUCCAGGGGUAGGAGUGAAAUCCUGUAAUCCUUGGGGGACCACCUGUGGCGAAGGCGUCUCACCAGAACGGCUCCGACAGUGAGGGACGAAAGCUGGGGGAGCAAACCGGAUUAGAUACCCGGGUAGUCCCAGCUGUAAACGAUGCGCGUUAGGUGUAUCGGUGACCACGAGUCACCGAGGUGCCGAAGAGAAAUCGUGAAACGUGCCGCCUGGGAAGUACGGUCGCAAGGCUGAAACUUAAAGGAAUGGCGGGGGAGCAC